GUAAGCUUUCGGGCCCAUACCCCGAAAAUGUUGAACGCUCAACCUUUAUUA
rnacentral:tRNA from 1 species